rnacentral:rRNA from 1 species
CGCCUGGGGAGUACGGGUGAGGUAACGGCCCACCAAGGCGACGACGGGUAGCUGGUCUGAGAGGAUGAUCAGCCACACUGGGACUGAGACACGGCCCAGACUCCUACGGGAGGCAGCAGUAGGGAAUCUUGCGCAAUGGGCGAAAGCCUGACGCAGCAACGCCGCGUGGGGGAUGAAUGCCUUCGGGUUGUAAACCCCUUUCAGCAGGGACGAAAAUGACGGUACCUGCAGAAGAAGCUCCGGCCAACUACGUGCCAGCAGCCGCGGUAAUACGUAGGGAGCGAGCGUUGUCCGGAAUUAUUGGGCGUAAAGAGCUCGUAGGCGGUUCAGUAAGUCGGGUGUGAAAACUCAAGGCUCAACCUUGAGACGCCACUCGAUACUGUUGUGACUAGGAUACGGUAGAGGUGAGUGGAAUUCCGAGUGUAGCGGUGAAAUGCGUAGAUAUUCGGAGGAACACCAAUUGCGAAGGCGCCGCUCUGGGCCGUAACUGACGCUGAGGAGCGAAAGCGUGGGUAGCAAACAGGAUUAGAUACCCUGGUAGUCCACGCCGUAAACGUUGGGCACUAGGUGUGGGUCUCAACCAACGAGAUCCGCGCUGUCGCUAACGCAUUAAGUGCCCCGCCUGGGGAGUACGG